GUGCCAGCAGCCGCGGUAAUACGGAGGAUCCAAGCGUUAUCCGGAUUUAUUGGGUUUAAAGGGUGCGUAGGUGGCUUUUUAAGUCAGGGGUGAAAGACGGUAGCUUAACUAUCGCAGUGCCUUUGAUACUGAAGAGCUUGAAUAAACUAGAGGUAGGCGGAAUGUGACAAGUAGCGGUGAAAUGCAUAGAUAUGUCACAGAACACCAAUUGCGAAGGCAGCUUACUAUGGUUUUAUUGACACUGAGGCACGAAAGCGUGGGGAUCAAACAGGAUUAGAUACCCGCGUAGUCC
rnacentral:rRNA from 1 species